GCCCGUGUAGCUUAGCUGGCAAAGCAGCCGACUCUUAAUCGGAAGACCGAGGGUUCAAAUCCCUCUACGGGUA
rnacentral:tRNA from 1 species